GGGCAAGUUGGAGGCCGCAAUCCAUGGGCGGUAGCGUG
rfam:Shewanella algae strain BrY contig_9_3, whole genome shotgun sequence.